CGCGUCGAUUUCAGCCUUUCCCGAGCGGGGGAAGGGGGCGGCUGCUGCAGGGGGGCAGCUCCGCGGGGCCCAGCGCCCGCCCUGCAAGGUGCAGCCCCCCCGACACAGGGACCCUCGAAGGAAUGGGACCGGAGCCUACCAGAUCCUGACAGCUGCCUCAUGCUGCUCCCCUCACCCAUUCUCCUUGCCCCGUGAUAAUGGAUGAGUGGAAACCCAACGCUCCAGCCAAACAGUUUGUCCCGCGGAAAAACCGGAGCUGGUACCUCUCCUGGAAGUACAAGCUGAUGAAUCAGAGAGCUGUCAGGCGGCUAUGCCAGAUGGGUGCCGUCCUCUUUCUGCUUGUGACUGUGAUUGUGAAUAUUAAGCUGAUCUUGGACACUAGAAGAGCUGCCAGCGAAGAGGAGGAGGAUUCUGCCCAAGACUAUGAUGAAGGUGUGCAGCAUCUGGACACCCCGCGCCGCCCCACCAGCAGCAGGAAGGUCUUGGACAUCGAGGUGUACUCCAGCCGGUCGAAGGUCUACGUGGCUGUGGACGGGACGACGGUCUUGGAAGAUGAUGCUCGGGAGCAGGGAAGAGGGAUCCACAUCAUUGUGUUAAAUCAGGCUACGGGUCACGUGAUGGCCAAGAGAGUAUUUGACACCUACUCACCCCAUGAAGAUGAAGCCAUGGUCCUCUUCCUCAACAUGGUCGCUCGUGGUCGCAUCCUGAUCUUCUCCAUUAAGGAUGAAGGCUCCUUCCACCUUAAAGACUCGGCAAAGAGCCUCCUGAAGAGCUUGGGAAGCCAAGUCGUCUCGUCCCUCAGUUGGAGGGACAUGUGGAGCUUUGUGGGGAAGAAAGGAGGCGAGGUGUACGGCGAGAAGCAUUCCAAGUCCCCGGCACUUUCCACGUGGGGGGACCCCGUCUUGCUGAAAACCGAAGUCCAGCUGACCUCUGUGGAAGAUGCCGAGUGCCACUGGCCUGACACAGAAUUGAACCGCCGGCGGCGGAGGUUCUGCACCAAGGUGGAAGGUUACGGCAGUGUCUGCAGCUGCAAAGACCCCACGCCUAUCGAGUUCAACCCUGAUCCCCUCAAGGACAAUAAAGUCUUGAAUGUGCCUGUGGCUGUUAUUGCAGGGAACAGACCCAACUACCUGUACAGGAUGCUGCGGUCCCUGCUGUCGGCUCAAGGGGUCAACCCCCAGAUGAUCACAGUCUUUAUUGAUGGGUAUUAUGAGGAGCCAAUGGACGUGGUGGAGUUGUUUGGCCUGAAAGGGAUCCAGCACACGCCCAUCAGCAUUAAAAAUGCCCGAGUGUCCCAGCACUACAAAGCCAGUCUGACAGCAACCUUCAACCUGCACCCGGAUGCCAAGUUCGCUGUGGUGCUGGAAGAAGAUUUGGACAUCUCCAUCGACUUCUUCAGCUUCCUGAGCCAGUCGAUCUAUUUACUGGAGGAGGACGACAGCCUGUACUGCAUCUCGGCUUGGAAUGAUCAGGGCUACGAGCACACGGCCGAGGACCCCUCGCUCCUGUACCGCGUCGAGACCAUGCCUGGCCUCGGCUGGGUGCUGAGCAAAAGCCUGUACAAGGACGAACUGGAGCCGAAAUGGCCAACCCCUGAGAAGCUGUGGGACUGGGACAUGUGGAUGCGGAUGCCGGAGCAGCGGAAAGGCCGGGAAUGCAUCAUCCCUGACGUCUCGCGCUCAUACCACUUUGGCAUCGUGGGGCUCAACAUGAAUGGGUACUUCCACGAAGCCUAUUUCAAGAAGCACAAAUUCAACACCGUCCCGAACGUGCAGCUCAGAAACGUGGAGAGCCUAAAGAAGGACGCCUACGAGAUUGAAAUUCACCGGCUCCUGGGUGAGGCCACGGUUCUGGAUCACAGCAAGAACCCAUGCGAGGACUCCUUCCUGCCCGACACCGAGGGCAAGACCUACGUGAUGUACAUCCGGAUGGAGCAGGAAGCCGACUUCACCACCUGGACUCAACUUGCCAAGUGCCUCCACGUCUGGGACCUGGACGUCCGCGGGAACCACAAAGGCUUGUGGCGUCUCUUUCGUAAGAAGAACCACGUCCUGGUGGUGGGCGUGCCCGCCUCCCCCUACUCGUUGAAGAAGCCCUCCACCGUGACCCCGAUCUACAUGGAGCCCCCCGCCAAGGAGGAGGUGGCCGGGCAGGUGGCAGCAGCAGAGCAGACGUGAGCCAGAGAGGUCUCCACGGCACCACCGCACAGAGAGGAGAGGGGGCAGCACUUGGGAGAGGCUGGGUACUUCCAGUGGGGGUGGGAUAGGGACUCAGCUACGCCCUAGGAUGGGCAUGUGCUCCCCGGAUGGAAAACUGGCUGCCGUCGCUCUGGGACACUGCAGCACUGCCCUGUAGGAUGUGACACCCGCCCACCCGUGCGGGCUCUUUUUAACACUGACUUUACUAACUUUGCUGCUCUCCUUAGGUGGAGGCAUUUUAAAUGCACUGGCUCCUUGAAGGCCCUCUCUGGGUGGCAGGGGAAUUUUGUAGCCCAGGAAGUGCUGAUGCCCUCGGGCCGGAUUUUAUUUAUUAACUCUUGUGUGGCUGGCUCGCCCUGUGCCGGUCUCUGCCCUGGGCCAGCGGUACCCUGGGAGUCUGAGCCAGGUUGGGUGAAACGCCCUGUCCUCUGCCUGGUUUGUGGGGCGGAGAAGGGACAUGGUACGGCCCAGCUCUAGAGAGGUUUGAGGAUGGCACUGGUGAAAGGGCUGGAGCCUUGGGCCCAGCUCACGGCAUCUGGAGGAACAAGGAUCGGGGGGAAAUGUGGCCUGUCUCUUUAAAUGGAAUUCUUCACCCCCCACCACCACCCCACAUGGAUCAGUGGACGGUGCCACAUGGGAGACCGGGGUUCAAGGUGUCCCUGCCCGGCCACCAAUGUCACAACACUUGCUCAUAUGUGGCAGCCAGUGAGCAGCACGGAUUAGCCUCCUGCUAGCCGUGGUGCCGGAGCAGAGAGAUGGGAGCCAGCUGGGGUGGGAGGGGGAGGAGGGGGAGAAGAGCCUUGCAGAGCGGGCACUGACCUGGUGUGUGGAGAACAGCCCCUGCCCAUGCAUGGCCCCAUCGGUUGCUGCCCAAAGCAUAAAGGGAAGACGGCAGCAAGGGGGCUGGGAGCCCGACGACUCCACCACAGAGAGCAGCUGCAGCAGGCCCCCGUGUCUGCGGCAGGCUCCUGUGUGCUGGAGGGGGCCGCGUCCUGCUGUGAUCACUUCUGGUUCCCAGUGGUACUCGCCCACCCUGCCAGGCCCCCCAGACCUCCUGCGCUUAGCAGGGUUGAGCUGGCUCUGAGCAGCAGCCACGGGACGCCGCUCGCAGGGAGGCCGGGAUCUGUGCUCAGGGUGGGAGCAGCUGUCCCCUCCGGCCCUGAGCACUGUCAUCCUGAUUGAAGGUACGGAAAUUCAGGGACAAGGAGGGUUUGGGGUUCCCCUCCCCACUGCCUGUGCCUUAGCUGAGGUCCCACAGGGCAGGGUGGGAUGAGUGAUCCCAGCCUGUAGAUUCCCCCAGCUGUAGUCAGCGGGAACUGGGAGUGGCCCAGCAAGCGAUGCUCCCUGGUGCUAGUUUGAUCUGAACCCUGUAGGUCCCUGUCCUGUGGUUGAUGCCUAUAUAGCGAUGUUUGUUUUUUUUCUUCCCUUCCUGCCAAUCAGAUUUGCAGGAGCAGCUCUCCAAGCUGGGUAAAUUGUGAGCUCUUGCUCUGCUCCUCGGCGCAGAGGAGUUGGGAAAGGCCCCACCCUGGGAGCUCUCUUUGAAUUGGUUUGAGCUCUGGUUCCAUGUUGGGGAGAGGCAGGGCCAUGCUUGGAUCAGGCACUCCCCAGCGUCUGCCCGCUAUGGGAUUGUACCGUCAGCACUUCCAGUUCCCUGGGCUGGGUUCCAGCCCUAUAGCUAACGAGUGCAUUUAUUGACGGCGGCCGUGGAGGCAGAGGGCUGUGAGCAGAGCGCCAAUGCACUAUAAUUUGGGAUGAGGGGAGCUGUAUGAUAUUGGUUUGUUGCAGCCCAGGCAUGCAGGGAUAAGGGCCAAGACCGAGUACGUAACUUCCAUUGGUUUCAAUGGGAGUUAGGCACCUAAAUAAUCUUGAGGUCUGGCCCAGAGUCCGUGCCAACUGUUUGGCCCAUGCUAUGCAAGUUGGCAACUAGCGGAUCUGGCAUUUGCAUUGCUCGCAACUGGCCAUCUUGGCUGCAAGGUCAAGGGUCGAAUGGGACAAGCCCGCUGGGCAUUCAUGCUGCUGCUUCCUAUGCUGUUUGUGGAAGAUUCUGCUCUCUUCGCCGACCUGCUGUUUGCCACGCAUCCCCCUCUCCACCGCUGUGGUUCCCAGGUACGUUGAGACGGUCCCUGGCUGAGUGGCUGGGGCCAUCCGCAUUUUGUGGCACCGGGGAAGGGGGAAGAGUGUCAAAGGGGCCUGAUUUUAAAGGCACGUGUGGUGAAAACAAGUGAUCAUUAGGAGUAGCUGGCUGUACUGAGGAUCGAAACCCACCCCGGAUGAGCCUCCAAUCCCCAGGCAGUCUCCUGCGCAGAACACUAUAUUAACUUAUUUAUUUAUUCGACCAUAGGGAUGAGGUUUUGAAACAGGAAGGCGCCUGCGGUCCGCCUUUGGGAUUGCUGUGAGCGAGGGGUUUCCCACUAAGCAAAUGUUGGGGCGUCGCAUUGUUCCAGUCGGUUCUCCUUCAGCCCGUUGACUUUGGCCGGGUUAUGAUGGCUUGUGGUGCUUCCCUUUUCACCCUCAAAAUAUACAGCAGUACCUCACUGGGUUAAAUGCAGAAGCCCAAGCACAGGUGAUGGGGGAUUUUUGCAAACUCUUAAGGAAAUGCGCACACACACAGUUGACCCAGCGUAUGUACCGCAGUGCUAACUGCUCCUUUUGCUGUGCUGUAGCGAAUGCUCUGUAGUGUACUUUGCCAAGACCCCAAAGGACCCCGUAGCAACAUGAGAUCAUGCGACAGCGCUGUCUCUGCCGCUGGGUCUCUGAGAAGUAGUGGGGGCUGCUGCGGCUCUCCUGUCGUGGUGUACGGUGACCCUUCUGAACCCUGGAGUGAUGCUUGAAGGCUGGGUGUGUCCUCUUUUCUUCUCUCUAAGAACCCCAUUUCCCCCCCUUGCCUUUUGCAGGCAAACUUUUAAACACGCACGCGCGUGCACACACGUUUUACAAUCACGUGCGAGUUUUGGCCCUGAACUGCUGCUAAUUCCACUCUUGUUUUGUAAUUGGUUUAAACCUGUGGAGCGGAGGAGCUGGAAGAAGGCAACCUAAGGUGGUUCUUUGUACACUGAAAUAAUGUGAUUUCAUUGCUGGUGUCUCCUUGUGUGUUUUUUCUUACUACCUGAUAUCAUCCAGCAAAGGCCACAGCCGGGGGAAUCCUCUAAUCCAUCUUUCUCUAGCGGGCUCGGCUCUGCUCUAACCAAUGGCAUUGCAAUGCACAGAGUGGGAUGGAAGGGCCCCGUUGACUUCACUUGAAUGUCUCUCUCCUGCCCUAUUGAAGCCAAUGUACUGUUGCCGUCAGUUGUAACAGGAUUUGACUCUGGAAAGGGGUCGCAAUGUGUCUGGCUCUGCAGCGCUUCAAUAGGGCAAACUUUUCUUACCCUCCUUCCUUGAAAACUAUCAGCUUUGUGCUGUCAGCCUCUUUUUUUGCCUCUCUCCUCUGAUUGCCCCAGUCCAUCUGGCUUGGUCUGAGGGGCUGACUGACCCUGGUUUGCCCAGCCGCUGGGUGCUGUGUGCAAUGGGGUGGCGGGACAGGGGCUGUGUGAGGGACAGGCUGGCCAGCCCUGGUUUGCCCAGCCCAGGGUCCUGAGUGCGAUGGAAGGGUGGGACAGGGCCUGUGUGAGGAACUGGCACUUUCUGAAUCUGAUUAUCUUUUUUUCCAAAUAAAUAUUGUAGUCCUGUUUACCCUUGUGUCUUUCGCCUCUAUCGCUGUGUGGGUGCUUGUUGGGUUCUCUGCAUGACACCGCCUGGUCCCAACCUCUCGCUGAUCUGGACCCACCAGGAGAGAGAGGGAUGGGGGCAGCUGCGUGCCCGUGCCCUUGCUGGUCAGAGCUUUCGUAGGCUGUGAGACGCUUCCUAGGCAGCAGGGGGAAGAGAAGUGGAUCCAGACUGACUGGUGAAGAGAUGGCUCUUUUGGAUGAAACGGACUGAUCAAGCCCACCAGGGAGGGGUGAAAGUUCUCCCCUGGGAAGUAAGGGCAGCGUUAUCUCUGUUUUAUGACUGGGGAGCGGGGAUGCAGCAAGAGCCAGCAACUUGCCUGGGAUCAAAGGCCUGACGCAGCCCGGCUCUGAGACUUUGCAGUGGUGGAAUUGCUUAAGGAAGAACUUGAAAAAGAGCUUCCCCUAUGGGGCAGGCCUUCCCCCAGGGAAUUUCUGGGCAGCUCUGAGGAACGUCUUCUGCAGGGCUUCCCUGGAACCGCCGCGCAUGGCAGUGCCAAAACAGAAACUGUGGCAGGGAACUGGAAACCACCAAGCACAUGCAGGAGGCUGCCUCUGAGGCAGGGCCCAGCUCUGGCUGCAGGAGGGAGAAGAGCCAGCUGUUGCUGAAUGCUGAGUUUCUCCAUUGUGCAGGUCUCGGACGGUAUCGUACCGAAGGCGUGGCCACCCCGGCUGCUACCUAGCACACUGUGGCAAUGAGGAUUGUGGAUCCUUCUGCUGCGAAUGCACAAACCCUGCUGCUUGAUGUGAUGGAGACUCUCCGUGAGCUGCUAACAGCAUAGGGGCUAGGCCUAAGGCACAGUCAAAACAGGCCUGAGCCCCUCCAGCAGGGGGCAGGCGUCCACCAACCAGCCCCCUGCUGGCACUAGGGAACCCACCGCAGUAAGAGACAGGUGCAGCCAUCUGAUCCACCCCUCUCCAUUCACUUGUAACGUGGGAGGAGUCCGCUUUGGGAUUGUUUCAGGGUGAGGUUCUGCCUAUAAUUUGCUUUAUUUUCUUCCUUUCAGUGCCUGUUUUGAGUUGAGGGAAGGGGGGUAAGGGAUGCAUUGGCCCCUCUGCAGUUUAAAAUUCUCAAGGUUGCCCACUUUUGGGGCCAGCGCCCAUUUCUUCAAGGGGUUCGUACAGCACCUAGCGUAACAAGGCCUUGAGCCCAGGGCGCCAGGGUUCUGUACAUUACCAGUGUCAGCGUGGCCCAUGUCAGUGACUUUUGUCUCACAGCUUGUGAUGGGUUUUGGUGGCUGAGUUUUUCUUCCACCUUGCAGCUCCUCCAUGAGAAUCCAAGUGCUCGUCUUUGUUGUUUUGUCCAGCCCUAGCCUCCGAGGGGAAAAGCUUGCAGAUGAUCCAAGUCGCACCUAAAGGAGCAGAAGCAACUAAAAAGAAAUCCGGGGGGGGGGGGGGAGAAUCUCAUGCCUUUUAAGCCAGUCUCAGGCCUUGGAGCCCCUGGUGCUGACUUUUGGUUUUGCUGACGGGUGCUCCUCUCUGCCCCCUCCCCUCUGUGUGAGCAGUGGGCAGGGCCUGCGGGAGGGAGGAGCUAAUAAGGGGGUGUGGCCUCAGCAGAACAAUGGCUUCGCCAUGCUCCGUCGGGCACCCUAGCAGAGCCAGACUCCGUGACGGCACCAGGGCACACAGUGCUCGUGGCGGGAGGAGGCGGCUUUGUCUACACUGAAGCCUUAACCAAGUCGUGGGCAGGAGACCAAAUUACAAGAGACUUGUCCCUGACAUAUUAGAAUACAGCUGUCCUGGGGUGGAGGAUGAGCCCAGCCACUUGCAACCAGGCACUGAUUGGGCCAGGCCAAAGCUUGAACUUGGGUUUGGAAACGACUUAGAUCCUGCCUCGUUGUCUAUGCAUUAAAUGCACUGUAACCAA